rnacentral:tRNA from 3 species
GGGCCUUUAGCUCAGCUGGUUAGAGCGCUCGGCUCAUAACCGAUCGGUCGCAGGUUCGAGUCCUGCAAGGCCCACCA